UCCAUAUUCUGGAGUUUUUCAUUUGAACAGAACUCCCAGUGUUCUCAGUAUCCAUUCGAGUGACACUGAGGACCUGUUGAGUUCCGUUCAAAUGUAUUACAACGAUAUUUAAUUGGG
rnacentral:miRNA from 1 species